AUAACGUACAUUUCCCAUAUGUUUUGAAUCUAAGCAACUUAAGAGGUUCUUUUUCUCAAUCCUAUAGCGGGAUUCUUGUUUUGGUGGCUCUCUACAUUUGGCGGAUGAGAAGCGUGGUAUAGGCAAACAAACAAAAAAUAAAAACAAAAACAAACCUAGUCGGAGAUGGAGACAGAGAUGGAAAUGGAAACUCACCGCCGCUCACGCACACAAGUGCCAAGCGCCAGCGACCGGCUUUUACUUUUCGCGCUCUGCACAUUCUGCAGCAGGAUUGGCGGAGAUUUCGAGGAGGAGAGAUGCUCAAAAAAAGAAAACAGAGCACAGCUCAAGAAAGAAAGAGCACUCACACACAUCUACCUCCACUUACUCACUAGUACCGCUCAGCCAGUUCUCCCGCUCCCACUCUCACUCCCUCUCUGGACAUUUAAUUAGUAAGCGCUGCUCAGAGUUGAAGAACAACAAACCAACCAACCAACCACCCUCUUCUUCUUCUUCCUCUUAAUAAAGACCAAUGCCAAUCUCUUCAAAUGUCAUCUACAACCUCCUCCCCUUUUCCUGCUCCUCUCACUUCGCUCUUUGAACUCUAUCGCUCACACUCCCUUUGCCGUUUCGCUCAUCGAUUUUUCUGUGAGUUGCAUUCUGAGUCUCGAGUCUGUGUGUGCGUGGGGGAGAUGGAUUGGGGGUGGGGUUGGAGGAAGCGGAAGAGGGAGCGGGAGCAACCAAGAGCGACCGCCAUGUGUUUUGCGUGCGUGUCACCAGAGAGAAGAGGAGAGGACAGGAGAGGAGCGGAAAGGAGAGCUAGAGAAGAGAAGAGCCGCGUCGCCGGCGUCACAUCAGGUGUUUUUAUUUCGCUGGCCGCGCUCUGUUUUGGUCAUCAUUUCGAUAAAAACCACGCAAUAGGAACGGUCUAUAUAAUGUCCGAAUCGGAUAAAUAUUCCAUUUGGUGUGCAUUGUGCACGCAUCCAUUAGAAACGUGAAAGCAAAGUGCAAAUGCAAAUCGAAUCAAACAACUAAAUAAAAAAGUACAGUAUCGCAAAUGUUCUACAGAAUAUAGGGAAAAUAAAGAAAAAAUA